CACUAUCGUUAACUGAAUACAUAGGUUAACGAGGCGAACCGGGGGAACUGAAACAUCUAAGUACCCCGAGGAAAAGAAAUCAACCGAGAUUCCCCCAGUAGCGGCGAGCGAACGGGGAGCAGCCCAGAGUCUGAAUCAGCUUGUGUGUUAGUGGAACGGUCUGGAAAGUCCGACGGUACAGGGUGAUAGUCCCGUACACCAAAAUGCACAGGUUGUGAACUCGAAGAGUAGGGCGGGACACGUGGUAUCCUGUCUGAAUAUGGGGGGACCAUCCUCCAAGGCUAAAUACUCCUGACUGACCGAUAGUGAACCAGUACCGUGAGGGAAAGGCGAAAAGAACCCCGGCGAGGGGAGUGAAAAAGAACCUGAAACCGUGUACGUACAAGCAGUGGGAGCACCUUCGGGUGUGACUGCGUACCUUUUGUAUAAUGGGUCAGCGACUUAUAUUCUGUAGCAAGGUUAACCGUAUAGGGGAGCCGCAGGGAAACCGAGUCUUAACUGGGCGUUAAGUUGCAGGGUAUAGACCCGAAACCCGGUGAUCUAGCCAUGGGCAGGUUGAAGGUUGGGUAACACUAACUGGAGGACCGAACCGACUAAUGUUGAAAAAUUAGCGGAUGACUUGUGGCUGGGGGUGAAAGGCCAAUCAAACCGGGAGAUAGCUGGUUCUCCCCGAAAGCUAUUUAGGUAGCGCCUCGUGAAUUCAUCUUCGGGGGUAGAGCACUGUUUCGGCUAGGGGGUCAUCCCGACUUACCAACCCGAUGCAAACUACGAAUACCGAAGAAUGUUAUCACGGGAGACACACGGCGGGUGCUAACGUCCGUCGUGAAGAGGGAAACAACCCAGACCGCCAGCUAAGGUCCCAAAGUCAUGGUUAAGUGGGAAACGAUGUGGGAAGGCACAGACAGCCAGGAUGUUGGCUUAGAAGCAGCCAUCAUUUAAAGAAAGCGUAAUAGCUCACUGGUCGAGUCGGCCUGCGCGGAAGAUGUAACGGGGCUAAACCAUGCACCGAAGCUGCGGCAGCGACACUAUGUGUUGUUGGGUAGGGGAGCGUUCUGUAAGCCUGCGAAGGUGACCUGUGAGGGUUGCUGGAGGUAUCAGAAGUGCGAAUGCUGACAUAAGUAACGAUAAAGCGGGUGAAAAGCCCGCUCGCCGGAAGACCAAGGGUUCCUGUCCAACGUUAAUCGGGGCAGGGUGAGUCGACCCCUAAGGCGAGGCCGAAAGGCGUAGUCGAUGGGAAACAGGUUAAUAUUCCUGUACUUGGUGUUACUGCGAAGGGGGGACGGAGAAGGCUAUGUUAGCCGGGCGACGGUUGUCCCGGUUUAAGCAUGUAGGCUGGUUGUCCAGGCAAAUCCGGAUAAUCAAGGCUGAGGUGUGAUGACGAGGCACUACGGUGCUGAAGUAACAAAUGCCCUGCUUCCAGGAAAAGCCUCUAAGCAUCAGGUAACAUUAAAUCGUACCCCAAACCGACACAGGUGGUCAGGUAGAGAAUACCAAGGCGCUUGAGAGAACUCGGGUGAAGGAACUAGGCAAAAUGGUGCCGUAACUUCGGGAGAAGGCACGCUGGUGUGUAGGUGAAGCCCCUGCGGGUGGAGCUGAGACCAGUCGAAGAUACCAGCUGGCUGCAACUGUUUAUUAAAAACACAGCACUGUGCAAACACGAAAGUGGACGUAUACGGUGUGACGCCUGCCCGGUGCCGGAAGGUUAAUUGAUGGGGUUAUCCGUAAGGAGAAGCUCUUGAUCGAAGCCCCGGUAAACGGCGGCCGUAACUAUAACGGUCCUAAGGUAGCGAAAUUCCUUGUCGGGUAAGUUCCGACCUGCACGAAUGGCGUAAUGAUGGCCAGGCUGUCUCCACCCGAGACUCAGUGAAAUUGAACUCGCUGUGAAGAUGCAGUGUACCCGCGGCAAGACGGAAAGACCCCGUGAACCUUUACUAUAGCUUGACACUGAACAUUGAGCCUUGAUGUGUAGGAUAGGUGGGAGGCUUUGAAGCGUGGACGCCAGUCUGCGUGGAGCCAACCUUGAAAUACCACCCUUUAAUGUUUGAUGUUCUAACGUUGGCCCCUUACCGGGGUUGCGGACAGUGUCUGGUGGGUAGUUUGACUGGGGCGGUCUCCUCCCAAAGCGUAACGGAGGAGCACGAAGGUUAGCUAAUCCUGGUCGGACAUCAGGAGGUUAGUGCAAUGGCAUAAGCUAGCUUGACUGCGAGCGUGACGGCGCGAGCAGGUGCGAAAGCAGGUCAUAGUGAUCCGGUGGUUCUGAAUGGAAGGGCCAUCGCUCAACGGAUAAAAGGUACUCCGGGGAUAACAGGCUGAUACCGCCCAAGAGUUCAUAUCGACGGCGGUGUUUGGCACCUCGAUGUCGGCUCAUCACAUCCUGGGGCUGAAGUAGGUCCCAAGGGUAUGGCUGUUCGCCAUUUAAAGUGGUACGCGAGCUGGGUUUAGAACGUCGUGAGACAGUUCGGUCCCUAUCUGCCGUGGGCGCUGGAGAAUUGAGGGGGGCUGCUCCUAGUACGAGAGGACCGGAGUGGACGCAUCACUGGUGUUCGGGUUGUCAUGCCAAUGGCACUGCCCGGUAGCUAAAUGCGGAAGAGAUAAGUGCUGAAAGCAUCUAAGCACGAAACUUGCCCCGAGAUGAGUUCUCCCUGAGACUUUAAGUCUCCUGAAGGAACGUUAAAGACGAUGACGUUGAUAGGCCGGGUGUGUAAGCGCAGCGAUGCGUUGAGCUAACCGGUACUAAUGAACCGUGAGGCUUAACCUU
rnacentral:rRNA from 1 species